GGGACACGUGGUAUCCUGUCUGAAUAUGGGGGGACCAUCCUCCAAGGCUAAAUACUCCUGACUGACCGAUAGUGAACCAGUACCGUGAGGGAAAGGCGAAAAGAACCCCGGCGAGGGGAGUGAAAAAGAACCUGAAACCGUGUACGUACAAGCAGUGGGAGCACCUUCGGGUGUGACUGCGUACCUUUUGUAUAAUGGGUCAGCGACUUAUAUUCUGUAGCAAGGUUAACCGUAUAGGGGAGCCGCAGGGAAACCGAGUCUUAACUGGGCGUUAAGUUGCAGGGUAUAGACCCGAAACCCGGUGAUCUAGCCAUGGGCAGGUUGAAGGUUGGGUAACACUAACUGGAGGACCGAACCG
rnacentral:rRNA from 1 species